UACGGGGGGGGCAAGCGUUGUUCGGAAUUACUGGGCGUAAAGGGCUCGUAGGUGGCCAACUAAGUCAGACGUGAAAUCCCUCGGCUUAACCGGGGAACUGCGUCUGAUACUGGAUGGCUUGAGUUCGGGAGAGGGAUGCGGAAUUCCAGGUGUAGCGGUGAAAUGCGUAGAUAUCUGGAGGAACACCGGUGGCGAAGGCGGCAUCCUGGACCGGUAUUGACGCUGAGGCGCGAAAGCUAGGGUAGCAAACAGG
rnacentral:rRNA from 1 species